rnacentral:rRNA from 1 species
UACGAAGGGGGCUAGCGUUGUUCGGAAUUACUGGGCGUAAAGCGCACGUAGGCGGAUUAGUAAGUCAGGGUUGAAACCCCGGGGCUCAACCGUGGAACUGCCUUUGAUACUGCUGAUCUCGAAUCCGGAAGAGGUGAGUGGAAUUCCUAGUGUAGAGGUGAAAUUCGUAGAUAUUAGGAAGAACACCAGUGGCGAAGGCGGCUCACUGGUCUGGUACUGACGCUGAGGUGCGAAAGCGUGGGGAGCAAACAGU